CUCUUCUCUCCUUGUACCUUCGUUCAUCUCACUCAAACCAAACAACCUUCUUCAAACCACCCAGAAACAUUCAUCUCACUCCACAUAGAACCCUUCUUCGUCUUCGACCUUCGUCUCCGACCUUCGUCUCAUCAUUCUCACUCACCCAUAAACUCAUUAAAACCCUAAACCCCAUUAAAUCUCAAUCGAUUGAACUCAGAAUUUUAAACCCUAUAAUUAAAAAUCAAUCGAACCUAGAGAACUCGCUGAAACCCUAAAACCAUCUUUCCCCAUAGUUCAUCAUUGUCCAUCGUUUACCCAGAAAUUCAUCAUUCCUCCAUCUUGUCAUAAGUGGAGCACAUAUCAGGUUGGGAAGACAUGUUUCCACUUGGGGGAGGACACUUGCAUUUGAAGCUGCAAGUUGUAUUUAGUGAUGAAGAGUGUGACAGAAUUCCUAUGAUGUACUACUUAUAUUUCUGAAAUCUCAACAUUCCUAAACUUAGAAAAUUAAUGGUCUUGGGACUUCUUGGUAAGAUGAGGAAGUUGUUGGCCUGGUUUGGAAAAUGGUAGAGGGAAAAUAAAGCAAGACAGUGCCCCCUUCCCCUCAAGUUCUCACACUUACCUUCCAAAGUUUAUGUAACUCAAACAAUUUAACGGUGCUCCAUUUUAUCGUAGUCAUUCAGCUGUUUGAUGGUCUUGAAGCGUAUUUGAUGUGUCGAACUGUUAUCACUCAUAUUGUGUAAGUAACCAUGUACUCAAGUGUAUGUAGCUCAUAAUUUUUUUUGUUUAUCAUGCUUAUUUUUAAUUCUGAAACUUCUGAAUAUUACUCCCGUAGACAUAACUCAUGAGUAGCUUCUUUUCUUAUUAGUGUUAUUAGUUAUGCUUCAUUCAAGUUUGAAC